rnacentral:siRNA from 1 species
UUACAAUGCGCCUCUAUGUGUACG